UCUCUUAUCUCUCUCUCAUUUCUCCUCCCUAACACAAUCGCGAUGGCAUCAAAUUGGGAACAGAGACGCACCGCCGCAAUACGAGACUAUGGACGCUCCGCCGCGAGAGGUUAUUCCAAUCUCCCAGUACUCUAGAGUCCGCGCAGGUCAGAUUCGCUCUCCAAACCCUCGUCCUCUUCUUAUACCGAACUAGAGCAUUUACCUUUUAUGCUUUCUAGGGUUUCGAAUUGCACUUUUCACAUGAGUCGAUUGCAUCGUGUUGAUUUGGUUUCUCUGUAUCGUAUUGAUUGAGAAAUUGAACGUUUUCUUCGUAUUUCAUGUCGCCGUUCUGAAUCGGAGGGUUUUGGUGGCAUGAUAGCUCCGACCAAAUCGAUGAGUUGAUCGUGGAAGCUGCGAGGAAACCUUCAAUGGUGGAGGAGGCCUGGGAGAGGCUCAGAAAAUCCAUCGUUUUCUACAGAAGCAAACCAGUGGGGGGAUCUUGCUGCCAUGGAUCCAAACGCAGGGGACUUGAAUUAAAAUCAGUAGGAACCAAUUAUAACAGGAAGAUGCAAUGUAUUGUAUAAUUGGAACACAAGUUGGAAGGUGGAGCAGAUUACUUUCUACAUCGGGAGUUUCUUGGUGUUUCUAUGCUGGGAACUAAGUCACCAUUUACAUCAGGUGAUUAAUACCAAGAGAUGCAUAUUUGCGCCGCCUAAAGGUUCAGCUGUAGCAGAAACAAAUCCAAUUAGUUACUGUCUUCAAAUGACCAGCGUUUAGAUUCGAAAUAUUCUGAACCAUUCGACAACUUUCAGUUAUAGGUACUUCAGUAUGCACCAGUUUUUGGCAGAGGAUGAGUUGGUUUGGCUACUCUUCUAUAGCAACAGAUAGAGUUCUUGUAGUGGUUUAGUUAGUAGGUUAGGAUUAGCGGGUGUUGUUAUCAUAUAUAUUGUUUUGUAAUUAAAAUGGAUUAUUAAUCUUUAAUGAAGUGAUAUUUUCUC